rnacentral:rRNA from 1 species
UGGGGAAUUUUGGACAAUGGGCGCAAGCCUGAUCCAGCAAUGCCGCGUGUGUGAAGAAGGCCUUCGGGUUGUAAAGCACUUUUGUCCGGAAAGAAAACCUCGUGGUUAAUACCCGUGGGGGAUGACGGUACCGGAAGAAUAAGCACCGGCUAACUACGUGCCAGCAGCCGCGGUAAUACGUAGGGUGCAAGCGUUAAUCGGAAUUACUGGGCGUAAAGCGUGCGCAGGCGGCUCGCUAAGACAGAUGUGAAAUCCCCGGGCUUAACCUGGGAACUGCAUUUGUAACUGGCGGGCUAGAGUAUGGCAGAUGGAGGUAGAAUUCCACGUGUAGCAGUGAAAUGCGUAGAGAUGUGGAGGAAUUCCGAUGGCGAGGGCAGCCACCAGGGCAAAAACUGACGCAAAUGCACGAAAACGUGGGGAGCAAACAGG